GGGGAAGUGCUGGAAUUGGCAGACAGGCAUGACUUAGGAUCAUGUGCCCCCGUGGCGUGUGGGUUCGACCCCCUCCUUCCCUA
rnacentral:tRNA from 2 species